AUUGAACGCUGGCGGCAGGCCUAACACAUGCAAGUCGAACGGUAACAGGAAACAGCUUGCUGUUUCGCUGACGAGUGGCGGACGGGUGGGUAAUGUCUGGGAAACUGCCUGAUGGAGGGGGAUAACUACUGGAAACGGUAGCUAAUACCGCAUAACGUCGCAAGACCAAAGAGGGGGACCCUCGGGCCUCUUGCCAUCGGAUGUGCCCAGAUGGGAUUAGCUUGUUGGUGGGGUAACGGCUCACCAAGGCGACGAUCCCUAGCUGGUCUGAGAGGAUGACCAGCCACACUGGAACUGAGACACGGUCCAGACUCCUACGGGAGGCAGCAGUGGGGAAUAUUGCACAAUGGGCGCAAGCCUGAUGCAGCCAUGCCGCGUGUAUGAAGAAGGCCUUCGGGUUGUAAAGUACUUUCAGCGGGGAGGAAGGGAGUAAAGUUAAUACCUUUGCUCAUUGACGUUACCCGCAGAAGAAGCACCGGCUAACUCCGUG
rnacentral:rRNA from 1 species